CUGUCUUUUCUCCUCCCUUCCCUAAUCUUCCAUGGUCGCCAGAUCCCUCCCUCCAUAGCCGGCGCUCCCUGUAAGGCCGCCCCUCCCCUUCGUCACCCACGCCGGCGGACGUGCAUGCCCCUGCUCCACCUCACUCCUCCUUCAAAUUCGGCCGUCGAAGUGCUCGAGGAGGCGGUCGAGCUUGGCAUGCUCGCCGGCGACGCCGGCCCCUUACCGCACACGCCGGACUACCGACCUCUCAGGCGGGGGGCGCACGCCGACCCCAGGAAGAGAGAAGCGAAGAUUUUGUGCCGGCUUCUUGCUCAGCUGGGAGUUUGAAGAGGACGGCCGUGGCCAUGGCCUUGGAGGAGGUGGAAGUUCUCGUCCCCAUAGAGAAGUUGUCCACGGAUCCAAAUCUGUAAGCAGAAAGAAAAGAACCUGAUCUUGGAUUUCUUCACUUGCGUUAUUCAGAGUCAUCCUAGUCCACCAUACGUUCCCUUAUUCAACUGGAUGACCGCAUAGACGGGGGAAGGCGGGGUGGUGUUGUGCUGGUGGCCACCGGGAGCUUCAACCUUCCCACCUACAUGCACAAGCAUGUUUGAGCUUGCGAAGGAUGAGUUGCAGCAGCGAGGGUAGUCGGUGCUGGGAUGUUACUGCCUUAAUGGAUACAUGUCGAUGCUAACAAGAAGAAGGCAAUGCAGAAAGGUCAUCAGCGUACCUUGACCAUUCUCUCAAGAGUUAAGAAUUCUUUUGUGCAAGGACGGCUUAGCUGAUCAAGGAAGUGUCAAGGUAAUGCUGCUAUGUGGUUCUGACCUGCUCGAGUCAUUCAGCAAGCCAGGGGUUUGGAUUCCAGAUCAGGUACAAAACUUGAACACUUUUUGGUACCGAAAGGGGAUGGGAGCAACAAGUCUGAAUCAAAGAUCGACGGAAGAAGUCGAACCUGAAGAAGUCCUCGGAAGAAUCACAGCUGCGUGUGCCCGGCUGGUUCAGGGGACGCGACAGGCGCUGGCGCCCUGCCCCGGCGGGCGUGUGCGCGGCGGCGUGGGUGCCAGUGCAGGGCGGGCGCGGCGGUGCGGGUGUCGGGGCAGGCUCUCUCCUGGGCACUGGCGAUCUCGCAGGACGGAUGCCACGCUACGAGCGGCAACAAUCGGCGAUGGCGAUCGUGCACGGAGGUGACGGGACGGUGCAGUGCGGCGUGGUCGCCGCGCAGGCAGGAGACGCCGUUGGUUGGCGGCGUAUGUGCCUGGCGGUGAGGUCAAGGUCAAGGGCGUAAAGUUCCCUUAGCUUGCGAUCUGAUUUUCCGUGAUUGUAGGGGACGCUGGGCUGGUUGUUAGUUUGCGAUCUGAUUUCCGUGAUUGUAGGGGACGCGCGGGGCUGGUUGUUCGACUACUACUCUCCUGGUGAAGUACGGUCAGUCAUUGGUAAAUGCUAAGUGCACAGGUAUUGGAUUAAUGAUGGCCGUUAGAUUGAGACUUGUUGGCCUAAUCGUGUGGUGCUGAUUGGCUCGUGCGUUAUUGUGGGACUAAUUGCGGAUGCAUGUAAGAAAGUUUUUAUUUGAUUGUUUAAUAGUAGUAGAGAUACAGUUUCAGAUUUCCAUUUCUCUUCAGUUACCUACACCAACAUACAAGGUGGUCUCCAAGUGUGUGUGUGCAGCUGUUACUGGAUAAUGCUCAUCUCCACGAUGGCUAUAGGUGUUAUCUUGCUAACCAACACGGGGAAGGGUACGAUCACUUCCACACAACCGACUGACAAAUUAAAGAUUACCACCCCAGUUAUAAAUCCAUUCAACCUCUUUCUUUCUGUACUCCCUCAGUUCCUGGAUAUAGGGAGUAAUAUACAUCAGUUGUUGCUGUUUAUUCCUUCAGUUAAAAACG